rnacentral:rRNA from 1 species
CCUGCUUACACUUGCACGUCGAACCCUGAAGCCGACAGCUUGCUGUUGGUGGAUGAGUGGCGAACGGGUGAGUAACACGUGAGUAACCUGCCCCUGAUUUCGGGAUAAGCCUGGGAAACUGGGUCUAAUACCGGAUACGACCUCCUGACGCAUGUUGGGUGGUGGAAAGUUUUUCGAUCGGGGAUGAGCUCGCGGCCUAUCAGCUUGUUGGUGGGGUAAUGGCCUACCAAGGCGACGACGGGUAGCCGGCCUGAGAGGGCGACCGGCCACACUGGGACUGAGACACGGCCCAGACUCCUACGGGAGGCAGCAGUGGGGAAUAUUGCACAAUGGGGGAAACCCUGAUGCAGCGACGCAGCGUGCGGGAUGACGGCCUUCGGGUUGUAAACCGCUUUCAGCAGGGAAGAAGCGAAAGUGACGGUACCUGCAGAAGAAGUACCGGCUAACUACGUGCCAGCAGCCGCGGUAAUACGUAGGGUACGAGCGUUGUCCGGAAUUAUUGGGCGUAAAGAGCUCGUAGAUGGUUGGUCACGUCUGCUGUGGAAACGCAACGCUUAACGUAGCGCGUGCAGUGGGUACGGGCUGACUAGAGUGCAGUAGGGGAGUCUGGAAUUCCUGGUGUAGCGGUGAAAUGCGCAAAUAUCAGGAAGAACACCGGUGGCGAGGCGGGACUCUGGGCUGUAACUGA